rnacentral:rRNA from 1 species
CCGCGUGGGUGAUGARGGCCYUAGGGUCGUAARGCUCUUUCGCCAGGGAUGAUAAUGACAGUACYUGGUAAAGAAACCCCGGCUAACUCCGUGCCAGCAGCCGCGGUAAUACGGAGGGGGUUAGCGUUGUUCGGAAUUACUGGGCGUAAAGCGCGCGUAGGCGGAUUGGAAAGUUGGGGGUGAAAUCCCGGGGCUCAACCCCGGAACUGCCUCCAAAACUAUCAGUCUAGAGUUCGAGAGAGGUGAGUGGAAUUCCAAGUGUAGAGGUGAAAUUCGUAGAUAUUUGGAGGAACACCAGUGGCGAAGGCGGCUCACUGGCUCGUUACUGACGCUGAGGUGCGAAAGUGUGGGGAGCAAACAGGAUUAGAUACCCUGGUAGUCCACACCGUAAACGAUGAAUGCCAGUCGUCGGGUAGUAUACUAUUCGGUGACACACCUAACGGAUUAAGCAUUCCGCCUGGGGAGUACGGUCGCAAGAUUAAAACUCAAAUGAA